CGCGCAGCAGCACGAUCUAAGAGCCGCCGCCCCAGGAAGGUCAGCAGCUCCCCGUCAGCUCUGCCUCUUCUUCCUCCUGAGCUUGAAGGAAAGCCAGGGGGGCUUCAGGGAGGGAGUGUCUCACCCACAGUGUCUUACCCGCUGCAGUGGGUCGACUGUGGCCAAGAGGCUGGGCUGAGAAGCAGGAUGAAGCGGGUGCCUGUGGCUGGUGGUGAGAAGGGGAGCCUGACAGCUGGGCUAGUGGGCGAUGGCGGGAGGGGCCCGCCGUGUCCGCUGAGCACCUGCUACUCUCCAAGUGCUUGCAUGGUGGUGGAACACACCCGCUCGGAGUUUCAUCACUGCAAGAUGCAUAGGGCAAAGCCUGGGUGAGUCCAGCGUCCGCGGCCUGACCCCGAAGCUCCCGCCUGGCCUGACCUGCCUCUCUGGGGGGCUCCCCGGGACCGCCCAUGCCUCGCCCUCCUGCCCUUCUCUAGGGAAACUACCCCAGUGUGGCCUGACCCUCUGGGGGCCAAAGUGGCUUGAGCAGCCCAUGUUCCGGGGCAUCCCACAGUCCCAGGGCUACCAUCCACAGCCAGCGUGACGGCCGUACCAUGCUGUUCUGCUUGGGUCUGGACGUGCAGUGGUUGAGACGGAGAGGAAGAGGAAGCUGUGGGUGAGCAGAGGGCUGGCAGUGCCAGCCAGGGGCCUGAGACCCCUCACUGAUCCCCCCUUGGAGGGAUCCUCCAGGUUUCCUGUCCACAGAGCCCCUGCUCUACACAGACCCUGUCCUUCCUCGCAGGUACCUGGACCUGGAGGGAAUGUCUCCACCCUCGAGGAGGAGCCGGGGUCGAGAGCCGGUGCACCGGGGACCUGCAGAGCUCACCGGGCAGCCGUGGUCGGGGGGUGGGGUGGCGUCCCCCUGGGGCUGCCCCCGGCUCCGCUGCAGAAGAGAUGGUCAUGAGGUCCUCAGGGUCAUCACAGGGAUGGGGCGCCCACAGCGGCAGGGGCGUGGACGGCUCCCCAAGGCCAUUCCUUCAUCCUCAGCCUCCGCCAUGCCUGCCACUCACCCUUUCACAGCCAUACUCAGCCAUCUUCUCAGAAGACCCCCUCCUUCCUCUGGCCUCUCUGAGCCCCCUCCUUCACCUCCGUGCCCUGCAAUGUCUCUUUCUGUAUUUGAUCACCUAUGACCAGGUGUCACCGCGUGCCCUCCUUUUCAUGGAAAGACUGUGAGACCUCAUGAAAGCAGGGACCACACGGGGCCCCCAUCGCCCCAUGCUCACAUGCCCACCGCACGUCCUGGGGAAGGGAAACCGGACUGGAGAUCAAUCCAGAGAAGGCCAGGGCACCAAUGUCUCUCUCUCAUCCUCUUGCCAAACUCCACCCCCAGGGAGAAGAAAGGGAUAGAACUUAAAAUGGUGCGAGCGUGUUAAAUCCAUCCAACCGAGCAUGUAAGACGUGCACUUCACCUAAGUCACCUCUCAAACUAGGUUCAAGCAGAGGCCAGUGGUCUGCACAUCUGGAAGGAAAAGCACCAGCAGCGCCAUGGACAAACAGCCCCCUCCCAGCUGCCCAGGGAUGCACAGAGGGACAGGGGUCUAAGGGGGCAGCCUUCUCUCAGCGCUGGCUUCCAGCGUCUCUGCUGAAUCACAGACCAUGACCCAUGACUCAAAGGGUGGUGACUGCACAGGGCAGGGCAGGACAGGGAAAGAAUGGCUUCGAGAAGGCAGUGGAAGCUGCCCAAACUGCUGACCCAGGAGCAUAAUGGUGAACAGGAUGAUGAGGCCACGGGAACCAAACUGAUGACCUUGCCAGGGAGUACCCAUCCCCCUCCUGCCUCCCCAUCACCACCACCACCUUCUGCUUCCUCCUUC